rnacentral:lncRNA from 1 species
GAUGACAGUCCCAAUGGUGGCUGUUGCCGGUGGCACACAAGGGAGAAAAAAUAAGAAAAAUAGGGAUGGCCCUGUUCUUCUUCAAUUCGACGGCUUGCCGUCAGUUGCCAACAAAAGAAGGAUGCCUAGGAAGGAAGAAGAGUAGGAAAGGAGCUUACCUUGCUCCGACGGUCGAGAAGAACUCCGACGACCUCCUUUUUCCCCAUCUAAGAACUCAC